CGAUCAAGAAGCAGGGGGCGACAAGGGUUCUCCACCAAACCCUAACUCUCACUAAAAUUGAUCAAUUGAAGGUUUAAUUCAGCCCCAAAUCUAAUUCUAAACACGAAUUAGUGAUCACCUCACUGAAAGGAUCACAAGGCAAAGAAUCCGGAACGUCAAGCGGACACGCCGGGGGAGAUACGCGCUUGAAGGGUGUGCUCUAAAGUUUUCAGGUAUUGCAAGUAUGUGGACGAUGGUCAAGUUGAUGCUUCAAGAACCGAACACGAAAUGUUGGACGCUUCCUCACUAAAUGAAUCUACUUAAAUUAUGUAGUUUUGUAAACAUUACUGAAUGAUCUAUGUUUGAAACUAGUUAAACGACUAUGUUAAUUACUAUGAUGAAGUAUAACUUAGUUUACCAACUAAGUUUUUUUGUUAGAUAAAAUUUUGUUUUCUUAAUUCCACGUUUCAUAUGAUUAAAAUAAUGAAAUAAAUGGUCGGGUGUUACAACU